rnacentral:lncRNA from 1 species
AGACAUAAAAAAAUUAGACCUUUCUAAUGAUAUCUUAGUUGUAAAAAUCGACACAGUGGUUCGACCGAAAAAAGGACAUCAGCCAGUUACGUUUGACUAUUAAUAUAUAUGAUGAUACUGUACGUUUUCAAACUAUUCCUGGGCAUACUUUGCUAAUUAUGCGAAGAACUGCCACGAAUAGUAGUUUCAGACGGAUCACUGCCGAACUUCCGAUACUCUUGCAAAUAGUAUAACGGCCUCACGAGUCUAGACAAAUAUGGCAGAACGUUCGCUCAUACUCGUUUGCAAGUGCUCGCUUAGUUUAAACCCAUUUUCUAAAUCGAUGACGAAAAAAAAUUCGUUUUUCCCCUUUAGAAAGACCAAUUUGGCUCAGUGCCUUUCGGAGAAAAUGCGAGGCCCGGGGGCAACUGUUUUUGAGGUCCUUCAAAAUUUUAUGAAAGAAAAUAAUCAUCAUUUCACAGUAUGAUAAAUAUAGUGGUAAAGCCUCCAAAAUCGUGAAAACUCAGACCCGGAGCAGCCGCACCUGAUAAGCACUGGGCUCACCAUAUUCGAAAUUUUUGUUAUGUGAAUUUUAUCUAGACGAAAUUUGUACUUAAUGUUUGUUCAUUGUAAUCAAGUUACACUAUAC